rnacentral:lncRNA from 1 species
GUUGUGUUGCCGCCACGUUGUGUUGCCGCCAUGUUGUGGUGCCGCCAUGUUGUGGUGCCGCCAUGUUGUGUUGUUGCCACGUUGUGUUGUGUUAGGUCUCUCUUUAUCUAGUGUAGCGGUGUCCCUCUAGUCGUGAUGUGUGUUUCGUCCUACAUUUUUAUGUUUAAUCCCAGCCCCCGUCCCCGCAGGAGGCCUUUUGCCUCUUGGGACGCCGUCACUGUAAAUAACAAUACGUUUUUAAUUGAAUUGCCUAGUUAAAUAAAGUUUAAAUAAAAAAUAAAAUAAAUGGCUUCUCUUCUUCUGUCCUGUGUUAUUGCUGUACCAGUCCACCACUCUAGGUCUAUGACCCCUGUGUUAUUGUUGUACCAGCCCACCACUCUGUGGUCUAUGACCCCUGUGUUAUUGUUGUACCAGUCCACCACUCUAGGUCUAUGACCACUCUAGGUCUAUGACCCCUGUGUUAUUGUCGUACCAGUCCACCACUCUAGGUCUAUGACCCCUGUGUUAUUGUUGUACAAGCCCACUACUCUAGGUCUAUGACCCCUGUGUUAUUGCUGUACCAGUCCACCACUCUAGGUCUAUGACCCCUGUGUUAUUGUUGUACCAGCCCACCACUCUAGGUCUAUGACCCCUGUGUUAUUGUUGUACCAGCCCACCACUCUAGGUCUAUGACCCCUGUGUUAUUGUUGUACCAGCCCACCACUCUAGGUCUAUGACCCCUGUGUUAUUGUUGUACCAGUCCACCACUCUAGGUCUAUGACCCCUGUGUUAUUGUUGUACCAGUCCACCACUCUAGGUCUAUGACCACUCUAGGUCUAUGACCCCUGUGUUUUUGUCGUACCAGUCCACCACUUUAGGUCUAUGACCCCUGUGUUUUUGUCGUACCAGUCCACCACUCUAGGUCUAUGACCCCUGUGUUAUUGUCGUACCAGUCCACCACUCUAGGUCUAUGACCCCUGUGUUAUUGUUGUACCAGCCCACCACUCUUGGUCUAUGACCCCUGUGUUGUUGCCGUACCAGUCCACCACUCUAGGUCUAUGACCCCUGUGUUAUUGUUGUACCAGUCCACCACUCUAGGUCUAUGACCCCUGUGUUAUUGUUGUACCAGCCCACCACUCUAGGUCUAUGACCCCUGUGUUGUUGCCGUACCAGUCCACCACUCUAGGUCUAUGACCCCUGUGUUAUUGUUGUACCAGCCCAACACUCUAGGUCUAUGACCACUCUAGGUCUAUGACCCCUGUGUUAUUGUUGUACCAGUCCACCACUCUAGGUCUAUGACCCCUGUGUUAUUGCUGUACCAGUCCACCACUCUAGGUCUAUGACCCCUGUGUUAUUGUUGUAC